GAUGAACGCUGGCGGCAUGCCUAACACAUGCAAGUCGGACGGGAAGUGGUGUUUCCAGUGGCGGCCGGGUGAGUAACGCGUAAGAACCUGCCCUAGGGAGGGGAACACCCACUGGAAACGGUUGCUAAUACCACGCAGGCUGAGGAGCAAAAGGCGGCAUCCGCCCGAGGAGGGGCUUGCGUCUGAUUAGCUAGUUGGUGAGGUACUAGCUUACGAAGGCGUUGAUCAGUAGCUGGUCCGAGAGGAUGAUAAGCCACAGUGGGAGUGAGACACGGGCCAGACUCGGACGGGAAGACGCCGCAGAGACCAUCGGGGGACGGGCGCGAGGAAGUUUCCGCAAUAGGCGAUAGGCGAAGAGGGCAAUGGGGCGGGGAAGUAGAAUGGCCACGAGUCGUGAACUUCUUGUCUCUGAGAAGAGACAAUGACGGUAUCUGAAGAAUAAGCACCGGCUAACUCUGUG
rnacentral:rRNA from 1 species